rnacentral:rRNA from 1 species
GAAACUCGCCUUAAGAUGAGACUUCCCUGGGAACUCGAUUCCCCUUAAGGGUCGUUCAAGACCAGGACGUUGAUAGGUCAGGUGUGGAAGCGCAGUAAUGCGUUAAGCUAACUGAUACUAAUUGCCCGUGAGGCUUGAUCCUA